rnacentral:rRNA from 1 species
GGUUAAGCGACUAAGCGUACACGGUGGAUGCCCUGGCAGUCAGAGGCGAUGAAGGACGUGCUAAUCUGCGAUAAGCGUCGGUAAGGUGAUAUGAACCGUUAUAACCGGCGAUUUCCGAAUGGGGAAACCCAGUGUGUUUCGACACACUAUCAUUAACUGAAUCCAUAGGUUAAUGAGGCGAACCGGGGGAACUGAAACAUCUAAGUACCCCGAGGAAAAGAAAUCAACCGAGAUUCCCCCAGUAGCGGCGAGCGAACGGGGAGCAGCCCAGAGCCUGAAUCAGUAUGUGUGUUAGUGGAAGCGUCUGGAAAGGCGCGCGAUACAGGGUGACAGCCCCGUACACAAAAAUGCACAUGCUGUGAGCUCGAUGAGUAGGGCGGGACACGUGGUAUCCUGUCUGAAUAUGGGGGGACCAUCCUCCAAGGCUAAAUACUCCUGACUGACCGAUAGUGAACCAGUACCGUGAGGGAAAGGCGAAAAGAACCCCGGCGAGGGGAGUGAAAAAGAACCUGAAACCGUGUACGUACAAGCAGUGGGAGCACGCUUAGGCGUGUGACUGCGUACCUUUUGUAUAAUGGGUCAGCGACUUAUAUUCUGUAGCAAGGUUAACCGAAUAGGGGAGCCGAAGGGAAACCGAGUCUUAACUGGGCGUUAAGUUGCAGGGUAUAGACCCGAAACCCGGUGAUCUAGCCAUGGGCAGGUUGAAGGUUGGGUAACACUAACUGGAGGACCGAACCGACUAAUGUUGAAAAAUUAGCGGAUGACUUGUGGCUGGGGGUGAAAGGCCAAUCAAACCGGGAGAUAGCUGGUUCUCCCCGAAAGCUAUUUAGGUAGCGCCUCGUGAAUUCAUCUCCGGGGGUAGAGCACUGUUUCGGCAAGGGGGUCAUCCCGACUUACCAACCCGAUGCAAACUGCGAAUACCGGAGAAUGUUAUCACGGGAGACACACGGCGGGUGCUAACGUCCGUCGUGAAGAGGGAAACAACCCAGACCGCCAGCUAAGGUCCCAAAGUCAUGGUUAAGUGGGAAACGAUGUGGGAAGGCCCAGACAGCCAGGAUGUUGGCUUAGAAGCAGCCAUCAUUUAAAGAAAGCGUAAUAGCUCACUGGUCGAGUCGGCCUGCGCGGAAGAUGUAACGGGGCUAAACCAUGCACCGAAGCUGCGGCAGCGACACUAUGUGUUGUUGGGUAGGGGAGCGUUCUGUAAGCCUGUGAAGGUGUGCUGUGAGGCAUGCUGGAGGUAUCAGAAGUGCGAAUGCUGACAUAAGUAACGAUAAAGCGGGUGAAAAGCCCGCUCGCCGGAAGACCAAGGGUUCCUGUCCAACGUUAAUCGGGGCAGGGUGAGUCGACCCCUAAGGCGAGGCCGAAAGGCGUAGUCGAUGGGAAACAGGUUAAUAUUCCUGUACUUGGUGUUACUGCGAAGGGGGGACGGAGAAGGCUAUGUUGGCCGGGCGACGGUUGUCCCGGUUUAAGCGUGUAGGCUGGUUUUCCAGGCAAAUCCGGAAAAUCAAGGCUGAGGCGUGAUGACGAGGCACUACGGUGCUGAAGCAACAAAUGCCCUGCUUCCAGGAAAAGCCUCUAAGCAUCAGGUAACAUCAAAUCGUACCCCAAACCGACACAGGUGGUCAGGUAGAGAAUACCAAGGCGCUUGAGAGAACUCGGGUGAAGGAACUAGGCAAAAUGGUGCCGUAACUUCGGGAGAAGGCACGCUGAUAUGUAGGUGAAGUCCCUCGCGGAUGGAGCUGAAAUCAGUCGAAGAUACCAGCUGGCUGCAACUGUUUAUUAAAAACACAGCACUGUGCAAACACGAAAGUGGACGUAUACGGUGUGACGCCUGCCCGGUGCCGGAAGGUUAAUUGAUGGGGUUAGCCGCAAGGCGAAGCUCUUGAUCGAAGCCCCGGUAAACGGCGGCCGUAACUAUAACGGUCCUAAGGUAGCGAAAUUCCUUGUCGGGUAAGUUCCGACCUGCACGAAUGGCGUAAUGAUGGCCAGGCUGUCUCCACCCGAGACUCAGUGAAAUUGAACUCGCUGUGAAGAUGCAGUGUACCCGCGGCAAGACGGAAAGACCCCGUGAACCUUUACUAUAGCUUGACACUGAACAUUGAGCCUUGAUGUGUAGGAUAGGUGGGAGGCUUUGAAGUGUGGACGCCAGUCUGCAUGGAGCCGACCUUGAAAUACCACCCUUUAAUGUUUGAUGUUCUAACGUUGACCCGUAAUCCGGGUUGCGGACAGUGUCUGGUGGGUAGUUUGACUGGGGCGGUCUCCUCCUAAAGAGUAACGGAGGAGCACGAAGGUUGGCUAAUCCUGGUCGGACAUCAGGAGGUUAGUGCAAUGGCAUAAGCCAGCUUGACUGCGAGCGUGACGGCGCGAGCAGGUGCGAAAGCAGGUCAUAGUGAUCCGGUGGUUCUGAAUGGAAGGGCCAUCGCUCAACGGAUAAAAGGUACUCCGGGGAUAACAGGCUGAUACCGCCCAAGAGUUCAUAUCGACGGCGGUGUUUGGCACCUCGAUGUCGGCUCAUCACAUCCUGGGGCUGAAGUAGGUCCCAAGGGUAUGGCUGUUCGCCAUUUAAAGUGGUACGCGAGCUGGGUUUAGAACGUCGUGAGACAGUUCGGUCCCUAUCUGCCGUGGGCGCUGGAGAACUGAGGGGGGCUGCUCCUAGUACGAGAGGACCGGAGUGGACGCAUCACUGGUGUUCGGGUUGUCAUGCCAAUGGCACUGCCCGGUAGCUAAAUGCGGAAGAGAUAAGUGCUGAAAGCAUCUAAGCACGAAACUUGCCCCGAGAUGAGUUCUCCCUGACUCCUUGAGAGUCCUGAAGGAACGUUGAAGACGACGACGUUGAUAGGCCGGGUGUGUAAGCGCAGCGAUGCGUUGAGCUAACCGGUACUAAUGAACCGUGAGGCUUAACCUU